GCAAUUUCUUUGGUUAUCUAGCUGUAUGAGUACCGCGUUUAGUCGUCAUAAAGCUGGACGACCGAAGUAAUGGCCGCU
rnacentral:pre_miRNA from 1 species